GGCGUGGCGGGCGCGGGCGGAAAAUGGCGGCGGGCACUGGGGAUCCUUCAAGAGCAGGCCGCGACCGGAGAGAACGUGGGGGUCUGGCCUUGGCUGGCAGGCGUGGCUACACUGCCAGUGUAACCAUAACCCUGUCCCUGGACCUGGGGAUCCUGACAGGCAGUGCAUUAAGAAUGCAGGGAGGGGUGGGCAGGACUGCUUUGGUGUGUGUGUUGUUCCUCCAUUUCAAGAGGCCAGAACACAAAGGUACCCGGUGAGGUGAGGUGCAGCUCUUUUACCUUGUCCUACCACACUGCCAGUCGAACUGCCUACAGUCUGAGGGGGAAAAUGCUGUUGAGGAACCGUGGAUAGAGAAAAAUAUCACAGUGAGAAACUGCCCAGAAUUACAUCUUGGCAGCUUGAGAUCAUUUGUCUUUGGAGAGACAGACCACAGCUGUAUGUACUUGCAUGAGAGUAGGCUGCCAAUUUCAGAACAUUAUCCACUUGGUGUAAGCAGAAAUAGGAGCUCAGGUAAGCUGCUAGAUGUAUUGCUGAGUGGUUGGAAGACUCUUGCUGUGAAAGAAAAGAAAAAGAAAAAGAAAGAAAGAAAAGAAAAGAUAAUAGAAGCUGUAUCUUGGUUAAAAUACAGAGGCUGCUGUUCGAAGCAUAGGUCUGGCAGAAGCCAGUGGCAAGGCCUCCAUUUAUGUUACUGGAUCAGGAUUUCAUCUGUAGAUUGUAGAGUGCAAAUGAGGGGUCAAUGAACAACAGUAGCAGAAAUGGCAGUAAAAUUAUUGUGGUAAGGUGGAAUACAUCUCUCAGUGUUUUACAUGGAGGAAAAAAAUUAUAAACCUACAGUAUAAACUUAGUGAGAAAGUUAAAAUGGUUACGAAUUGGUUACAUGCUCCGAAGAAGAGCUGAAAGAUAAAAUCAUGGGAAGUGAUUAGAGUAUGACCUGGGGAAUGGUCAUUAGGAGUACCACUCUCCCAAAGAAAGCUGACAGCUGUUCCACGUUAUGGACCACAGCUGGUUCACAGUGUGGACUCCUGAGGGUAGAGAUGCCUCACAAAUUAUUUGUCAGAGCAAAACAGCAUAGUUCAAACUCCCAGAGGAUUUCUGGAUACAGUUAUAUAACAAUGCCAAAGUCCAUGGAACCGAUUGCUCAAGUCAGCUGUAACCUUGGCUGAUGACUGGCUGCUUUGUAUACUCUGGAAAUUCUACCUUGCAAACAUGCGUAGACUUCAUGUCUACCAAGAGCAGCCCCUCAGUUCCUCCAGUCUGUAGCAACAACAUCAAGGCACUAAUUCCUACCCUGCAUACAUUAAGAAUUUUAUUUGUGAGCCCGCAAUAAUAUUUUUUUCUCUGGUAUGAAACAGCACCUCGUUGGGUGCUAUGAACAAUUGAUUAAUAGUAACAUUAUCAUUUUUCCUUUUGUUUGUUUUUCAGCUGAGAAGUUUAAUGCCAAUACAAGCCAAAGUUAGCAAGGGAAGCUUUGUGUGUGUGUGUGUGUGUGUGCACUUAAUGAGCAUUUCAACUUUCUAAAUCAUAUUUUUAGAGGAUUCUUUCUCUGCAGGGUUGUGACUAGAAGAAAUCAAUGAUGGAUAGAUGAAGAAAUCUCUCUUAUAUCCUGUGUUCCACAGAUAGGUGGGAAUUGUGAUCUAUGGGCAAUUCGUGGAUUUUUUUAAUUGCUACAGGGGUUGAAUCAAAAAAUAAUGGGCCUGGUGAAGGUAGUCAGGACAGCAGGCCUAUGAAAUUAGGGAGCAGGCAAGCAGUGAAUGUGAAUUUCACUGAAUGAAUUUCAUACCACAAAGCUUGGUAGACAGUGCCCUCUUUGUUCCACGAAGAAGAAUGCAUCUCUCUGCUAUUGCUAUUUUGCUAUUGCAAGAAGUAAGCCAAAUCCUGGCUUAGAAGUGUAUUGAAAAGAUUCCAGCAGUUCAUCUUGGACUGCAUAAUCUUCAUGUGUUUGGAAAGCCUUUGCAAGGCAGGGUUCCUCCAGCCCAAGGUGGAGGCUGUCACAAAUAUUUGAGUAUAGGCUCUUGCAUUAUUGCAGAAGCAUGAAAAUGAACACGCAAGCCUUUGCAAGCAGAAAUAAAGAGAGGCUUUGAUCGUCUUUAAAAGUCUCUUAAGGAGCCAAAUGCAAGGAUCCAAUGAGAUCCUCAUUUAUAUUCCCUGUGCCUCUACGCAAGUUCAGCCUGGCUCUUCAUAAAUUGGAACCUUCUCUCCUCUCCUUAUUUUGGAAGCAACAAGGAGAUGGGUCUUUUCAGGUGCACUCAUUGCACCAGAAUGAUGAGAGCUUUCAUGUUUGAAAGGUACGCAAAACACAGGGAUGCCAGGAGCAAAGAGCAGUUUUCAUGCUGCAGGGAAAUAUAAAGCUUAGAGACAAACCUGCAUGGGAAGGACCCAAAUGUAGGGGAUAGCACAGUAGAGUGGAAAUGCACGUGACUGACCGGCUGCACGCAGCAUCUGGAGAUGCUGCUGCUGCUGUGCCUGGCACACACACACAGGUGCUGUAGAGGCUCACAGCUCCUCGCAGUUCCUGGAACUGGAGGAAGAGGCAGCCAGGACUAGCAAAGAAAACACAAACUGAAUAAUCAGGAAAAGAAGAUAAACUGUGCUGAGUGGCAGCUGGUCUUUAGAGAACAGGUUGUGUAAAUACCCCAAGGGCCUUGUGCAUCAUUCCUGGGAAGCUAUUCCCCAGAGAGAGACUCAGUUGGAUCACUGCAGCACUCCACACUGGAGGUAUGUUUACUUCUGCACAGCCUGUGUUUCCUGCAAAAACAUUCCUCCUCUCGUAACCAAUAUAUGCUGACCUUUCAACAAGCAAUGUUUCCCUUGUGUGUCUACAAUACAUCUGUCUGUACCAGGAAAAGCCUUCAAAUAAAUUAUUUAUUGCUUACCCUCUUCCAGGCACAGAAGACAGAGGUGCAGUCUAGUCCUACUUUUCCCAGCGUCCAGCUGGGAGACCAGCCACCAGCUGACAGGAUACUUGACACUGUUUUUCAUGCGUAGGUGACAGUUACUGUCUCUACCUAUGUGUUCUCAUCCUGGACGUAGCCUGUAGGAAAAAGUUGGCUGCCGUAAUUUUCAGCAUCAUAUACACUGACAGCCCUGUACUGUUACCUGUGUGGUGUCAGUAGCCAGGACUUCUGAAAGAGGAAAGCAACUUGCCGUCCCAUUGAAGUUUCUGUGCCUGCUGUUGAUGUUUCUCUGUCUGUCAUUGUGCAAACCAUCAUUCAAGGAAUAAUUUACAAAUGGCAUCACCAGUUUGCCCUUUUAAUUUACCCUUAGGCCCAUUCUGUGUCUUCUGUAUUUGUUUCUUUUCCUUUUUGCCACAUGCUGUGCUUCCCUCUUCUCUCUCUCUGUCCCUCUCCCAGAUCUCCAGUGACAUGCCUAGCUAUGUUUGUUCCCUGUAAUUCAAUUGUACUAGUGGACUUGCAAGUGCUGGAGGCAUACAGCAGUUUUGGCUCUGGCUUUUGAACGUGAUUUCCAAUGAUCUUGGAAAAAGAACUGACUCCAGACGGGAACUGUGGGUUUACUCACAGGCUUGUGCAGAGACCCCAUGGAAUAGGUUAGGCCAGAGGAGAGGAAAAGCUGAAAUUAUUUGCUAUUAAAUAGGUUUUUUUCAUAGAAUUUGAGGUUUGGAUCAGAACACCAGUGCUGUCAAGGCAGCACUUCUGUGCCUUCCUGUUCUGCUCAGCACUUGGGCUGUCACUGUUGCAGCAGGGAGACAUUUGGUCCAGCACCAAUCAAAUCUUCAUGCUCUCUUCCACUAUCCCUAGACUGCAUUUCCCAGCCUCCUUUUCCCCACUUUUCAUACUUGUCAUCACCCAAUAUCUGGCUCAGCAAAGAAUCUGUUUAAUAGAAAAUAUUUGGUUUCUUAUUUACUCUGGGAAAUUAAUAAAUAAGAAACCCUGUACAGUCUACACCAAUGGCUUUGCUUAUAUACUACAUUGCUGUAGGCACUUCGUGCUGUGUGACACGAAGUCUCUGCUCUAGGAAACUGACAGUUAUGGUUUAGAAAUGACAACUGGCAAGAGACUACAAGGAAGAAGAGAGACAACGUGCUCUGUGGGCAGGGAUCAGGCCUCUCUCCAAAGCACACACAUUAGUUGAUGUGUUUAUUUCAUGCAGGGGAAAGGAACUGGGGAUUAACUGUUGUCUUUACUCUGCAAAUGAGAGGCAGAGGCACUACAGACAAAUCAGAGACUGUAAAACGAGUGUAAAGAAAGAAUUUGGACAUUUGGGAAAGAGGUGAAAGGGACUCAUUCAUGGUGACUCCUGAAGUUAUUGUUUUCCUCCUUAGUUCCCAAUCUAAUAUCCAUACCGCAUCAGUUAAGGAUCUGAGUCAUCCUUUUGUUAUUUAUUGCCUUAUAUGGUGGUGCCUUCAAGCUCUAAAUGAGAACAGAUAAUUAUUUGUAUUGACCGAAGAACACAGGAACUCCUUCUGCAGAUCAGAAUCUAAUUGAAUGAGGGUUGCUCCGAAAGUAAUGCCUCCUACAAGAUUAUGUUAGCCAUUGCCGUCAGAGACAGAUGUUGGUAGAAUGGCUGUAGAAGUUGAACCUUCUCACCAAUAUUCCCUUACAUUUUGUUGCCGUGUGACAGAUGGCAGCAGAAG